rnacentral:rRNA from 1 species
UACGGAGGUCUCAAGCGUUGUUCGGAUUCAUUGGGCGUAAAGGGUGCGUAGGCGGCGCGGUAAGUCGGGUGUGAAAUCUCGGGGCUUAACUCCGAAACUGCAUUCGAUACUGCCGUGCUUGAGGACUGGAGAGGAGACUGGAAUUUACGGUGUAGCGGUGAAAUGCGUAGAUAUCGUAAGGAAGACCAGUGGCGAAGGCGGGUCUCUGGACAGCUCCUGACGCUGAGGCACGAAGGUCAGGGGAGCAAACGGG